AAGGAGUCAAUCCCAAGUGAAGAAGAGUCGACCCCAAAAGCCAUUAGCCAAAAAUAAAAGACUAUGAUUUUCGGAUACCUCAAGAGUCAACCCUGAGUUUUCAGGAGCUGACCCCAAGAUUUCAGAAGCUAGCUCCUCUGCACCUGAUAACCUAAUGGCUAAUUUUUUAAAGAGCUUCAAAUGGACAAAAAUUGACUUUAACAACU
rnacentral:lncRNA from 1 species